CCGCCCCACCCUCCAGUUCCCCUUUCCGCACACACUGAAAGCUUAAAGGAGCUGCAGGCUAUCUUUGCCCAGAGGUUUGCAGGCAUCAGGCGUUGCUUCCAGGUCACAGGCUUUCCAAGGAGGAGCUUGUCCUGAAUCCUAGUUUACAAGAUAUUUAAAGAAAACAAAAGAUAAUAUAGAAGACAGAAGUAAAUAUAUACAGACCCUUGAACAACAUGAAUUUGAACUGCACAGGUUGACUUGCAUGUGAAUUUUCUUCUGCCCUUGUCACCCCUAAGACAGAAAGACCAACCCUGCCUCUUCCUCAGCCUAUUCAACAUGAAGAUGACAAGGAUGAAGACCUUUAUGAUGAUCUACUUCCAUUUAAUAAGUAGUAAAUAUAUUUUCUAUUUAUUGGGCAACGAAAUGAGACCUGUCUCUAAAAAAGAAAUAAAAAAUUAGCUGGGCAUGGCAGUGCAUGCCUGUUAGUCCCAGCUACUUGGGAGGCUGAGGUGGAAGGAUCGCCUGAGCCCAGUACUAGUGAGCCAAGAGUGCACCACAGCACUCCACCCUGAAUGAUGGAGCGACAAAAAACACUUUUUCCUUUUUCUGAUUUUCUUAUUUUUUCCUUUUUCUUAUUUUCUUAACGUUUGCUUUUCUCUAGCUUACUUUACUGCAAGAAUAUAAUAUUUAAUACAUAAAACCUACAAAAUAUGUGUUAAACAACUGUGUUAUCAAUAAGGCUUCUGGUCAACAGUAAGCUAUUAGUUAAGUUUUGGGGGAGUCCAAAGAUAUAUGUGAAGCUUCAACUGCACAGGGGGAUUUCUAACCUCAUCAUUGCUCAAGUGUCAAAUGUGCCAAUGUGGAAGAAAUCCAUUAACUUUUAAGAAGAAAUUUACAAGACAGUAUGUGAAGUUUAAUUCCUUUUUUGUUUACAUAUGUGAUAUGCCUCACAUAUACAUUUACAUAUGCAUUUGUGUAGGCUGAUAAUGACCCCCAAAGAGAUCAGGUUGUAAUCCCUGGAACUUGUAAAUGUUACUUAAUUUGGAAAAACAGUCUUUGCAGAUGUGAUUAAAUGAAGGAUCCUGAGAUGGGGAGAUUACCCCGGAUUAUCUGGGUGGGUCCUAAAGGCAAUCACAUACAUCCUUCUGAGACAGAGGGAGAUUUGACACCAUGGAGAAAGUGAUAUGAAGAGGGAUCAGAGAAAGAUUAGAACAGGGUAGAGUAAGAUGGCCACAGGCCUAGGAAUGCCAGCAGCCAUCAGAAGCUGGAAGAGGCAAGGAACGGAUUCUUUCCUAAGGCCUCUGGAGGGAGUGUGGCCCUGAUGACUGACAUCUUGAUGUAGGUCCACAGACUCAUUUCGAAUUUCUGGCCUCCAGACUGUGAGAGAAUAAAUUCUGUUGUUUUAAGCCACCAAGUUUGCGGUCAUUUGUUACAGCAGCCGUAGGAAACUAGGACAACAUUGUACAUGUUUGAAUACACAUAAACAUUUUCUGGAAGGAUCUGUAGAAAAUUGUUAACCAUGUCUACUUCUGAGAACUGUGUCUAAGGGUUAAGCAAAGAAAUUUUUAAAAAAAUAAAAACUUUUACUUUUUACUUGAAUACCCAUCCAUGCCUUCUGAUUUUUAAUAAU